rnacentral:SRP_RNA from 1 species
CGGUGCCCUGUAACCCGAAAUCCGCUCAUGCGGGGUCGAAAAUCCUUUCUGCGAAACACGAAAGGGGUUUAAUUCAUUCAGUAGGAGAGGAGGUCGGACCUCGUUUGACAGAUGAUUAUGAACUCCGUCAGGUCCGGGAGGAAGCAGCGGUAAAUAAUUCAAUCUGCAUUACGAAGCGAUCUGGCCCUCAUACCUUUUUCUAUUGAAAGGUUAUUCCUUUUUCUGUUCAAAGGGGGAUGCACGG